UCCCUGGAAGACUAGUGGUUAGGCCACAGGACUCUCACUGCUGCGGUCAGGGUUCAAUUUCUGACCAGGGAA